AUCCACCGAGCGAAAGGAUGCGCCCGGAAUCACGGAUGAUGGACCAGCGCCAGGAGGCGACCGACAGGAUGUCGGAUGGUCAGGAAAGAACCCGCUUCGGCGGGUUUUUU
rnacentral:sRNA from 1 species